GAUGAACGCUGGCGGCGUGCCUAAUACAUGCAAGUCGAGCGAACAGACGAGGAGCUUGCUCCUCUGACGUUAGCGGCCGACGGGUGAGUAACACGUGGAUAACCUACCUAUAAGACUGGGAUAACUUCGGGAAACCGGAGCUAAUACCGGAUAAUAUAUUGAACCGCAUGGUUCAAUAGUGAAAGACGGUUUUGCUGUCACUUAUAGAUGGAUCCGCGCCGCAUUAGCUAGUUGGUAAGGUAACGGCUUACCAAGGCAACGAUGCGUAGCCGACCUGAGAGGGUGAUCGGCCACACUGGAACUGAGACACGGUCCAGACUCCUACGGGAGGCAGCAGUAGGGAAUCUUCCGCAAUGGGCGAAAGCCUGACGGAGCAACGCCGCGUGAGUGAUGAAGGUCUUCGGAUCGUAAAACUCUGUUAUUAGGGAAGAACAAAUGUGUAAGUAACUAUGCACGUCUUGACGGUACCUAAUCAGAAAGCCACGGCUAACUACGUG
rnacentral:rRNA from 1 species